rnacentral:rRNA from 1 species
CCUACGGGGUGCAGCAGUGAGGAAUAUUGGUCAAUGGUCGGGAGACUGAACCAGCCAAGCCGCGUGAGGGAUGAAGGUACAGAGUAUCGUAAACCUCUUUUGUCAGGGAACAAAGGCGGGGACGCGUCCCCGGAUGAGUGUACCUGAAGAAAAAGCAUCGGCUAACUCCGUGCCAGCAGCCGCGGUAAUACGGAGGAUGCGAGCGUUAUCCGGAUUUAUUGGGUUUAAAGGGGGCGCAGGCGUGGUGUUAAGUCAGCGGUAAAAGCCCGGGGCUCAACCCCGGCCCGCCGUUGAAACUGGCAGUCUCGAGUUGGAGAGAGGUAUGCGGAAUGCGCGGUGUAGCGGUGAAAUGCAUAGAUAUCGCGCAGAACUCCGAUUGCGAAGGCAGCAUGCCGGCUCCACACUGACGCUGAGGCACGAAAGCGUGGGUAUCGAACAGGAUUAGAUACCCUUGUAGUC